GAUGAACGCUGGCGGGAGGCCUAACACAUGCAAGCCGAGCGGUAUUGUUUCUUCGGAAAUGAGAGAGCGGCGUACGGGCGCGUAACACGUGUGCAACCUGCCUUUAUCUGGGGGAUAGCCUUUCGAAAGGAAGAUUAAUACUCCAUAAUAUAUUGAACGGCAUCGAUUAAUAUUGAAAGCUCCGGCGGAUAGAGAUGGGCCCGCGCAAGAUUAGCUAGUUGGUGAGGUAACGGCUCACCAAGGCGAUGAUCUUUAGGGGGCCUGAGGGGGUGAUCCCCCACACGGGUACUGGGACACGUACCAGUCUCCUACGGGCGGCAGCAGUGCGGGAUACUGGUCAAUGGGUGCUAGCCUGAUCCAGCCAUCCCGCGUGCAGGACGGCUGCCCUAUGGGUUGUAACCUUCUUUUGGAUAGGGAUAAACCUACCCUCGAGAGGGUAGCUGACGGUACUAUACGAAUAAGCACCGGCUAACUCCGUG
rnacentral:rRNA from 1 species